GGGAUUGUAGCUCAGUUGGUUAGAGCGCCUGCCUGUCACGUAGGAGGUCGCGGGUUCGAGUCCCGUCAGUCCCGCCA
rnacentral:tRNA from 1 species